GAUGAGUAAAAUAAUGAUAAAAGGAGAAUGACACGUUUUAAGAAAAGGAGAGAUGAGUCAUUUGUUUACUUGGAUGAGAGAGAGAGUAUCAUUGUUGGGUCGUUUUAUUGAGAAAGAGAGAGAGACCUUUUGACACAUGGUAAAGAAAGAAUGAAGUAUAAAAUGGGUGCACAUGACAAGUGGAAAAAGGCUUGGAAAGAAAAACACUGUUUUCGGUUUUAAGAAGAAAUGAGGGUUAAAAGUGAGUUAUUUUAUUAUAAGAGAGAGAAAAGGUGUGUUGGUUUCAUGCAAUGUUUAAAAAAACGUCGAGUUAAACUGGACUCGCCCGGUUUGACUCGG
rnacentral:lncRNA from 1 species